AGAUCUUUCUCCACUUGAGGUAAGAUUCUUUCUUUCUAGCAGUUUAUGUUUGUCCACACCCACACUACAUGAGAGCGGAAGCAUCAAUUUAUUUUUAGAAGUUUUCCAAACACAAUCUUUUGUAUGUUGCCUUGUUAAUAUCUGCUUUUAAAAGAUCACUUGCUUCACGCUCCCUUAUUGUACAAUGACAAUGAGAUAUGUGACUGAAGUGCUAGGUCUUUCUUGGAUGCUAGUCCUUUAUUAAGUCAUGGAAGCAUUAGCAUAUUCAUUUGCUGUGAUUGCUUGGUGCUGCCUUUUUUUUUUAUUUUUUUACUGGGACUGUGGGUGCACACCGUUAGGAUAAUACCAUUUAUCCAGGCUUAUCCCCACUCUAGCUAAUAUGUUUGGAAGGCGCCUGUAUCUAGGUUGUCUUUCGUAGUUUGCAUCUUGUGUUAUAGCUCAUUAGCUGUUGGUGAAUGCAGAGGAGUCUUCCUUCAGCAACAUCUGGAUCAACAAAGACAACUGCCUCAGGAUGGGCGGCUUUCUAGUUGUGU
rnacentral:misc_RNA from 1 species